AGAGGACAAUUAAUGAAAGAAGAUGUGAUUCUUUCUAUAGAGUCGAGAGUGUUUAAGUCUUUGAAUCAUUCAGACAUAUCGAUUUUCAAAGUCUGAAAAGAGCUUGUUUGUUGAUGGUUUGCUAGAAGGAAAAAAAAAAAAAAUAUAUAUAUAUAUAUAUAUCUAGUAAUAAAAAUCUACUCUUCUAGCCGUCUGUCCUUUACAUUCUCAAGAUCCAUUUUGAUUUGGUAAACGUUGGCUUGCAUCUAAGGUUUCCUUUCACUUUGCUUAUUGGUUCUUUUGCAUCGGACAACCUUCUGAUAAAACGAGUUUCAUCACUUGGCUCUGCUACAUUUCUACUUAGCAAUUGAAGAAUUUCCGGUCUGUAAGUGUGAUAUCGACCAGGAUAAUCAAUGGAGAUUGUUGGUUCAAUAUUUGUUGAACUUGUAAAGCAGAUAUUAACUCCAAUCGGUAAAUGUUGCAAAUAUCACAGAGGUAUCAAUAGAUAUAUGAAAAUUCUCCAUGAAAAAAGGGAGGAAUUAAAUAGUCGAAAAGAAGACACAGAAGCUAGAAUAAGGGUAGAGCUUCUUCCUGGAAGGAAACUGAAGAAGGAAGUUGAACUUUGGCUUGGAAAGGUAGAACAGAUUAACAGUGAAAUAAAAAUUCUACAAGAAGAGGUCGGGAAAGGGAAAUACUUCUCUCGUUCACGCCUUGGAGGAGUUGUUUUCAAGAAGAUAAAAGAGGUGGAGCAAAUUUACCAAAGAGGUGUUUUCUUCGAUGGUUUGGUUGAAGAAAACCCACUAUUUGGAGACAUAUUGCCUACAACAACAUUAGGAGGAGAAAACACAUCCAAAAGAAAAUUGGAAGAAAUCUGGGCAUGCUUGGAAAAUGAUGAAGUUAGAAAAGUUGGAGUUUAUGGCAUGGGUGGAAUUGGCAAAACGACUGCCUUAAAACACAUCAACAAUCGCCUUCUAGAAAAUCAAGAUAAGUUUGAGAGUGUAAUUUGGGUGACUGUGUCAAAGGCUUCCAAUGUUACCAAGUUACAAGAUGCAAUCACAUGCAAGUUGGGGUUAAAUAUUUCAAAAUAUGAAGAUGAAACAACAAGGGCAGCAAAGUUAUAUGCCAUGUUGAGCAGAAAGAAGAGAACCGUACUCAUUCUUGACGAUCUGUGGGAAGUGUAUCGUCUUGAAGAUGUAGGAAUUCCUGAACCUACCUUGGAAAAUGGAUGCAAAUUAGUGUUGACGACUAGGUCUCUUGAUGUUUGCCGUGGCAUGAGUUGCAUAGGUAUCCAAAUGGAGCUUCUAAAAAAAGAGGAGGCACAAAUCUUGUUCUUGGAUGUAGUUGGCCAAGAUGUUUUACACACAAGUUUGAAAACAAUUAUGAAUGAAAUUGUUGAAGAAUGUGGUUGUUUACCUCUUGCAAUUGUAACAGUAGCAGGAAGUCUAAAAGGCACCAUUGAUGAAUUUGAGUGGAAAAGUGCAUUAGCAGAACUGAAGGCAACUAGAAGGGGGCCUAAUAUGAUGGGACCAAUAUUUGAGAAGUUGGAGUUCAGUUACAAUCGUCUGAAGGAUAAGAGACUUCAAGAUUGUCUGUUAUAUUGUGCUUUGUACCCUGAAGACUACGAAAUUGAUAGAAAUGAUUUGAUAGAAUACUUGAUUGAUGAAGGAAUAAUCGAGGGAAUGAAGAGUAGGCAAGAAGCAUUUGAAAAAGGCCAUUCUAUGCUGAAUAGACUUGAAAAUUGUUGCUUGUUAGAGGGUUCAAUGGAUUAUGACAAGACAAAGCAUGUGAAGAUGCAUGAUUUAGUUAGAGACAUGGCACUACAACUUACAAGUUAUAGCCCUAGAUUCUUGAUAGAAGCUGGUGCAGGAUUGAAAGAAAUACCAGAGGAAGAAAAUUGGACAGAGGAUAUUGUAAGGGCUUCUUUGAUGCGCAAUAAUAUAUUGGAUAUUCCUUCUGAUGCAUCGCCAAAAUGUCCUGAACUUUUAACUUUGAGGCUAAAUUAUAACAUACUUAUGAGCAUUUCAGAUUGUUUUUUUACGCAUAUGAAAUGCCUAAGUGUUCUAGAUCUAUCCUAUACCUCCAUAAAAAAUCUACCAGAAUCGAUCUCUGACUUGGUGAGUCUCACUGCUUUAUUGCUUAGAAGAUGUGAGAAAUUGAAGUAUGUGCCAUCUUUAGCAAAUCUAAAAGCCUUAAGAAGGCUGGACUUGUCAAAUGCAGGUAUAACUGAAGUACCCGAAGGUAUGGAAAUGUUGAGUAAUUUAAAAUACCUCAACCUUGACACAAGGAACAUACAAAUGUUACCUGAUGGCAUUUUGCCUAAGCUCUCCCAUCUCCAGUUUCUCGUAUUUCGUCUUAAUGCCUCUGAGACAAUGAAACUGAGAGGAGAGGAAUUAGCAAGCUUGAGAAAGCUAGAGACUUUUAUAGGGAGAUUAUAUGACAUCAAUCACUUUAAUACCUUUGUAAGAGCUAUGGUGAGAAAACUCACUAAUUAUAUACUUCAAGUGGGAUUCCACGGAUUUCUAGAGGAGGCAAUAUACCCUUAUCAUCCACGUAAAACUGUACUUUUGACAAAAUGCACCUCAAGUGAAGGCAUGCUGGGAGAGUACCUGUAUUUGCUCCCGAAUGAUGUUGAGGUCUUACAAAUUCUCGAGUGCCACAUUGUAAAGAGUUUAUGUAAUCUUGCAUCAUUGAACAAUGUAACCAAAUUGAGGAAAUGUUAUAUUGCAGAGUGUGAUGGAAUGGAGUAUGUGCUUUCUUCUUCUUCUUCUUGCAAUGGUUCUCUUCAAAGCCUUGAAACGUUGGAGUUGAACGGAUUAUGUAACUUACAGGGACUGAUAAGUAGAGAAAGAGGUGCAUCAUCUUUAAUACUACUCCCACCUGCUAAUUUUUCAUCUCUUCAACAAAUUGCAAUUGAUUCUUGUCCAAAAGUAAAGGAAUUGUUCAUGCUUGAAUGGUUACCGCACCUUCAGAACCUGGAAAAAAUUGAUAUUCAGAGUUGUGAGCAGAUGGAGGAAAUAAUUUCAGCAACAUUAGAUCAAGACGCAGGAGGAACUGAUAUCAUCAAAAUCACUCUCCCUAAAUUGAAGUUUUUGAAACUGUGGGGCUUACCGGAGCUAAAGAGCUUUUGCAGCAUUGGAAAAGUGAUGGUUGCUGAUUCUCUGCAAGAAAUUUCAAUAUGGAAAUGUCCAAAGCUGAAGAGGAUCCCAUUUGUUGACAAUGAACCAUGUCCUCCUUCUCUUCAAAGCAUUGAUGUACACAAACAGUGGUGGGAAUCACUAGAGUGGGACCAUCCCAAUGUUAAGGAUGUCCUCCAGCCUCUCUGAUAUUUAUCAUGUGAAAUUACCUAAGCUUCGUGUAAUCAGCCAUAGAAAAGGCACAAGGCAUGCAGUUCGUGAAACAGAGUUUACCAUGUAAUAAACCCUCUUGCUUAUGUUUCUUCUUGACCGUGGAAAGAGACUCUGCGGGGCACGACGUGGAAGAAAAAAGACGAGGCAGGGGUUUCCAGAGGAGAGAAAGGUGGAGUUUGUCAAUGGCUGUGGCUUCCGAGUGGGGUUUGGCUUUUGGCUGGUACAAACUAAUAUAUAACAUUCCCUUCCAUUUGGUAACAUGAGUAAUGAUAUUUGAACAUAAAUUUUUUAAGAUUUUAAACUUCAAUAUAUGUUAAAUUACAAUUGAUUCUGAGAAUAAAAAUAG